GUAAUAUGAAGAAGUUAUUUAAAUUUCACUUCACGUUGUCCUUUUGAAUCCUCGCAUUAAUAAAAUCAUUUUCAGUGGAAAUAUCAGCAGCAAGAAAUAGAAAAUACUAACAGCAAGAUUUUUUUUUAAUGCCCAUAAGAAGAAGCUUGGAAAUUGACACUUGGUUGCUAGGCACGUUUUACAGCUUUGCUGUUUACCAUGGACCAGAGAUAAUUUUCCUUAUGGAGAAUUUACAAGUUUCCAGAUGCAUUAUGCUGAAGAUAGCCAGGAUCCAGUACAAGAGGUUGGUGUCCCACUACAAAGCAAGGGCCUGCCACAACCAGAUGCAUGUUUCAAUGACAUCGAAAGACUCACCUUGGACUCAUCGCUGACUUGUCAACCAGAGCUCCAAUAUCUGAGUUUGUCAAAGAUCUCAAAGGACGUGGAGUGUAUUUGUAUUAUCAUAUAAAGCAC
rnacentral:lncRNA from 1 species